rnacentral:siRNA from 1 species
UGUCACGUUUCAGGCCUCAA